rnacentral:misc_RNA from 1 species
GAUGAAGAACGCAGUGAAAUGCGAUAAGUAGUGUGAAUUGCAGAAUUCAGUGAAUCAUCGAAUCUUUGAACGCACAUUGCGCCCCUCGGUAUUCCGUGGGGCAUGCCUGUUCGAGCGUCAUUUAACCCCUCAAGCCUAGCUUGGUAUUGGGUGCUUGUCCCGCCUCUCGCGCGGCGACUCACCUCAAAGUCAUUGGCAGCCCGCAUCUCGCCGGCCGUGAGCGCAGCACAGACGCGCUCUUGGCAACGACGGAUCGGCUCUCCAAAAGCUUAUUUCAACCACUGACCUCGGAUCAGGUAGGGAUACCCGCUGAACUUAAGCAUAUCAAUAAGCGGGAGGA